UACGUAGGCAGCGAGCGUUGUUCGGAGUUACUGGGCGUAAAGCGCACGUAGGCGGACAUUUAAGUCAGGGGUGAAAUCCCAGAGCUCAACUCUGGAACUGCCUUUGAUACUGGGUGUCUUGAGUAUGGAAGAGGUGAGUGGAAUUCCGAGUGUAGGGGUGAAAUUCGUAGAUAUCGGGAGGAACACCGGUGGCGAAGGCGGCGAUCUGGGUCGAUACUGACGCUGAGGUGCGAAAGCGUGGGGAGCAAACAGG
rnacentral:rRNA from 1 species